rnacentral:lncRNA from 1 species
UUAUUUCUUCUUUUCCUAGUGAUCGCACUAGAGACAAAGUUCUGUCCUGAUGGCGGCGCCGAGGGGAGAGGUCAGAGGUCAAGAGUCAAUUCAACUAAGGUUGCUUAUCGAUGUAAAUAUAUAAACGGGCGACAGCAGAAUAAACGUCAUUUCGCGUUUGUGGACAGGUGGGGGACAGGAGAGGACAGGUGGGGGACAGGAGAGGACAGGUGGGGGACAGGAGAGGGACAGGGGAGGACAGGUGGGGACAGGUGGGGGACAGGUGGGGGACAGGAGAGGACAGGUGGGGGACAGGAGAGGACAGGUGGGGACAGGAGAGGACAGGUGGGGACAGGAGAGGGACAGGUGGGGGACAGGAGAGGACAGGUGGGGGACAGGAGAGGACAGGUGGGGACAGGAGAGGACAGGUGGGGACAGGAGAGGACAGGUGGGGACAGGAGAGGGACAGGUGGGGGACAGGAGAGGGACAGGUGGGGGACAGGGGAGGGACAGGUGGGGGACAGGGGAGGGACAGGGGAGGACAGGUGGGGACAGGAGAGGGACAGGUGGGGGACAGGUGGGGGACAGGAGAGGACAGGUGGGGGACAGGAGAGGACAGGUGGGGGACAGGAGAGGGACAGGGGAGGACAGGUGGGGACAGGAGAGGGACAGGUGGGGGACAGGUGGGGGACAGGAGAGGACAGGUGGGGGACAGGAGAGGACAGGUGGGGACAGGAGAGGACAGGUGGGGACAGGAGAGGGACAGGUGGGGGACAGGAGAGGGACAGGUGGGGGACAGGGGAGGGACAGGUGGGGGACAGGGGAGGGACAGGUGGGGGCAAGGGAGGACAGGUGGGGACAGGAGAGGGACAGGUGGGGGCAGGAGAGGGACAGGUGGGGGCAAGGGAGGACAGGUGGGGGACAGGGGAGGGACAGGUGGGGGACAGGGGAGGGACAGGGGAGGACAGGUGGGGGACAGGUGGAGGACAGGGGAGGAUGUGUGAUCCGCAAGGAUCCAGACCCACGAGGGCCCGGACCCGGCGAGCGGCUGUCGUGUUGGUUUGGACAAAUAAAACAAAAGCUACACUAACAGUCAUAUUCUGCUCGGUGGUUCUGACCUCUGACCCCUGA